GCUACGGUGGUCUAGCGGUUAGAACGCUGGCCUUGUAAUCCUGGGGUCCCGGGUUCAAUUCCCGGUGGUGCCG
rfam:Zootermopsis nevadensis contig33214, whole genome shotgun sequence.